CUUUAAUGCAUUUUCUUUGAUCAAGGUGCCGGUGUUCCAAAUUAGAUUCAUCUUUCCUAAGAAGAGAGGUUCACUUUUAAUUGAACAAUACAACAUUGUAAGGGAAUUUUUAUGACAACGAAUUGCAGUGAUCAGUAUAACUGGUAACAGUAUAUUACAUCUGGAAAAAUAAUACCAUAACUUUCAACUGAUACUAAUGGCAAAAAAGAAUCACUUUGUUUAUUGUCUAACAUUGUAGUGACAGCC
rnacentral:lncRNA from 1 species